rnacentral:rRNA from 2 species
UGCAAGUCGAACGAUGAAGCCCAGCUUGCUGGGUGGAUUAGUGGCGAACGGGUGAGUAACACGUGAGUAACCUGCCCUUAACUCUGGGAUAAGCCUGGGAAACUGGGUCUAAUACCGGAUAGGAGCGUCCACCGCAUGGUGGGUGUUGGAAAGAUUUAUCGGUUUUGGAUGGACUCGCGGCCUAUCAGCUUGUUGGUGAGGUAAUGGCUCACCAAGGCGACGACGGGUAGCCGGCCUGAGAGGGUGACCGGCCACACUGGGACUGAGACACGGCCCAGACUCCUACGGGAGGCAGCAGUGGGGAAUAUUGCACAAUGGGCGAAAGCCUGAUGCAGCGACGCCGCGUGAGGGAUGACGGCCUUCGGGUUGUAAACCUCUUUCAGUAGGGAAGAAGCGAAAGUGACGGUACCUGCAGAAGAAGCACCGGCUAACUACGUGCCAGCAGCCGCGGUAAUACGUAGGGUGCGAGCGUUAUCCGGAAUUAUUGGGCGUAAAGAGCUCGUAGGCGGUUUGUCGCGUCUGUCGUGAAAGUCCGGGGCUUAACCCCGGAUCUGCGGUGGGUACGGGCAGACUAGAGUGCAGUAGGGGAGACUGGAAUUCCUGGUGUAGCGGUGGAAUGCGCAGAUAUCAGGAGGAACACCGAUGGCGAAGGCAGGUCUCUGGGCUGUAACUGACGCUGAGGAGCGAAAGCAUGGGGAGCGAACAGGAUUAGAUACCCUGGUAGUCCAUGCCGUAAACGUUGGGCACUAGGUGUGGGGACCAUUCCACGGUUUCCGCGCCGCAGCUAACGCAUUAAGUGCCCCGCCUGGGGAGUACGGCCGCAAGGCUAAAACUCAAAGGAAUUGACGGGGGCCCGCACAAGCGGCGGAGCAUGCGGAUUAAUUCGAUGCAACGCGAAGAACCUUACCAAGGCUUGACAUGUUCUCGAUCGCCGUAGAGAUACGGUUUCCCCUUUGGGGCGGGUUCACAGGUGGUGCAUGGUUGUCGUCAGCUCGUGUCGUGAGAUGUUGGGUUAAGUCCCGCAACGAGCGCAACCCUCGUUCCAUGUUGCCAGCACGUCCUGGUGGGGACUCAUGGGAGACUGCCGGGGUCAACUCGGAGGAAGGUGAGGACGACGUCAAAUCAUCAUGCCCCUUAUGUCUUGGGCUUCACGCAUGCUACAAUGGCCGGUACAAUGGGUUGCGA